AAACGUCUUCAGGGCAGGGUGAAAUUCCCGACCGGUGGUAAAGUCCACGACCUCAUAUCAAACGCAACGUUGAUAUGGGCUGAACUGGUGAAAUUCCAGUACCGACAGUAAAGUCUGGAUGGAAGAAGAUUAGG
rnacentral:ncRNA from 2 species